AGUAAAAGUCGUAACAAGGUCUCCGUAGGUGAACCUGCGGAGGGAUCAUUACAAGUGACCCCGGUCUAACCACCGGGAUGUUCAUAACCCUUUGUUGUCCGACUCUGUUGCCUCCGGGGCGACCCUGCCUUCGGGCGGGGGCUCCGGGUGGACACUUCAAACUCUUGCGUAACUUUGCAGUCUGAGUAAACUUAAUUAAUAAAUUAAAACUUUUAACAACGGAUCUCUUGGUUCUGGCAUCGAUGAAGAACGCAGCGAAAUGCGAUAAGUAAUGUGAAUUGCAGAAUUCAAUGAAUCAUCGAAUCUUUGAACGCACAUUGCGCCCCCUGGUAUUCCGGGGGGCAUGCCUGUUCGAGCGUCAUUUCACCACUCAAGCCUCGCUUGGUAUUGGGCAACGCGGUCCGCCGCGUGCCUCAAAUCGACCGGCUGGGUCUUCUGUCCCCUAAGCGUUGUGGAAACUAUUCGCUAAAGGGUGCUCGGGAGGCUACGCCGUAAAACAAACCCAUUUCUAAGGUUGACCUCGGAUCAGGUAGGGAUACCCGCUGAACUUAAGCAUAUCAAUAAGCGGAGGA
rnacentral:rRNA from 1 species